rnacentral:misc_RNA from 1 species
UAAUAAAGUGUUUUAUGGCACUUUUAAAUCCAUAUCCACCUUGUGUGCAAUGUCGGUCGAUCUUCUUUUUUGAGGAUCGACCAACAUCAACCUUUAUUUUUUAACUCAUUUGUCUGAAAAUAUAUUAUGAAUAAACUAAUUCAAAAUA